UGGCUCUCGCAACGAUGAAGAACGCAGCGAAAUGCGAUACGUAGUGUGAAUUGCAGAAUUCCGUGAAUCAUCGAAUCUUUGAACGCAACUUGCACUCUGCUCUGCAGAGUAUGCCUGUUUGAGAAUCUAUAGUAUUCUUCAACCCCGGUUGAGAUUUGGGCGUGUUGGCAACUCGCCUUAAAGCCAUGGUUCGAGGCGGCCUUGUGCAGUGACGUCUAUUUGCCAGAGCGAUGAAGGGUUCGCCCACUUCCUCGGGUCAACAGGCCAGCACGGGUCGGCGCGACUCACUUUUUUCAAUCUUGGUCUCAAAUCAGGUAGGAAGACCCGCUGA
rnacentral:misc_RNA from 1 species